rnacentral:rRNA from 1 species
AGGGUUUGAUUCUGGCUCAGGAUGAACGCUGGCGGCGCGCCUAACACAUGCAAGUCGAACGGCCGGACCCACCUCGGUGGGCGAGGCAGUGGCGAACGGCUGAGUAACACGUGGGCAACCUGCCCCCCUCCCCGGGACAGCCUCGGGAAACCGUGGGUAAUACCGGAUAUGCCGCCCCCUCCGCAUGGGAGGGGCGGGAAAGCUCCGGCGGGGGGGGAUGGGCCCGCGGCCUGUUAGCUAGUUGGCGGGGCAACGGCCCACCAAGGCGACUAUGGGUAGCUGGGUUGAGAGACCGACCAGCCAGAUUGGGACUGAGACACGGCCCAG